GGCUCCGUGGUGCAAUGGUAGCAUGAGGCUGUGGUUUGCCCGACUCCAAGUCUAGCUUCCGGGUUCGAAUCCCGGCGGAGUUA